CACUACUAUCACCACCACUCAAAAAGACAUAUAUCUUCUACGCAUACACCUACGCAAACACAUGGAUCACUACAUACUGUCCCUACCUCAGUCAAAAACAAGCCAACACACACCUCCAGUGGAGAUCACUUAUUUUCCUACACACAACAAAUGGUGUCCAGUAACAGCGCUGGAUUCCUACCUUUCACUUACCCCAUCAACGCCAUUGCUACACCUAUUUUCACUCAAAGGCUCUGUACUCACUACUACGACUUUCAUGCGAUACAUCAGAUCUCUGUUAACCAUGCUAGGUCUUAACCCUUCACUCUACUCAGGUCACUCCUUCUGCAUAGGGGCGGCUUCCACAGCUUCCAGCACAAACAUACUGGUACAUAUCAUUAAGUCAUUAGGGCGGUGGAAGUCAUCCGCCUACACAACCUACAUACCAAAAC